UUUUACCCAUUAAUGGGUUUUAGCCAGUAACCGUGUGUGCAGUGUGCAGAUACACGCUUAGCUUAGUUUACCCAUAAAUACGUAAUCCUUUCACCCAUAUAUGGGUAAAAGCAAAUUUACUGACAUUAUGAGCAAAAUUCACUCAUAAAAACGGUGAAUUUCACUCAUAUUAUUAAAAAGUUUGUCUUACCUAUAUUUGGGUGAUCAAGUUUACCAAUAUUUGGGUGAAAAAAUAAUCUUGUGUAACAAUUCUUCUCAACAUGGAGGUUCGGAUCUCCCGGAGAUUUUUCCUAUUAAAUUCAAUGUAGCCGCCGUUGCCGCUAAACAAUAAAUCAAUCUUAUGGUUUUAUACGAUAAUAUUGAUUGGUGUUGCGAUAUUUUUAUAUAAACAAUAAUGUUCAUCCCAUUUGCGGCGAUGCUCGGUAGCAUCAAUCGUCAUUUCGAAGGUUUCCGUUGUAUGCGAGGCUCAAUCUCAUCAUUAAGUGUUAUAGGAACAUAAUAUGUGCAACGCCGGUCAUUCCUUAAGAAUCGUGACUUUUGAUGAUGAUGACAACGGAAAUGGCGCUCGCAACUUCGAACACCAAAAGAUGUUCGGACACAGAACGAUUGUUCCAAGCGUUCCAAGCUGCUACAAUCUUUGGCAACUGUCGUGUUUCCCGUGGACCAUUCAUUUUGCCUUCAAAUUGGUGUCCAAUUUGUUGCCCAGAAUACCUUCGUCAAGCCGAACUAGUGACCACUGGAACGAAUACUAAAGAACAAGAAACCUCCACAUCACUCUGGUUGCCGCUGCGAGAAAAACAUACAACAACCGGGACAGUUGAGGAAUGCCAACAGCGGUGGAAUACUGAAUAAAUAGAUGCGGUCCACCUGAUGUGGAAAACAGCGGUAUUCACCUAAUCAGCAACCUUUCAACGAAA